CACGGGGGGGGCAAGCGUUGUUCGGAAUUACUGGGCGUAAAGGGCUCGUAGGCGGCCAACUAAGUCGGAUGUGAAAUCCCCAGGCUUAACCUGGGAACUGCAUCCGAUACUGGAUGGCUUGAAUCCGGGAGAGGGAUGCAGAAUUCCAGGUGUAGCGGUGAAAUGCGUAGAUAUCUGGAGGAAUACCGGUGGCGAAGGCGGUUCUCUGGGAAUGUCCUGACGCUGAGGAGCGAAAGUGUGGGGAGCGAACAGG
rnacentral:rRNA from 1 species